GGAAAAUUGCUCGAAUCUAGUUACAUGGGUUGUGGAACUUAAAAUCUUUAAGAAUUGGUUUACACGGGCCAUGUAAUUUGUUACACGCCUCGUGUAAUCUUCAAUGAACUAUAAAACUGCAUUUUAAUGCUCAAAUGUUACAUACUAUAGAAGAAAGUAUAAUAGUAAUAGGAAGGGGAAUAUUGGAGGGAAAGGAGCAAAAGUGUAUAACUGAUUCUGUAAUAGAAUUGGUAACUGCUAUGUUUGACUUUAGAGAAAGUAGUUACUGAAUUGAGAUAUAAAUUCUCAACAAGCUAAUCUGUAAAUCCAUUCAAGAAUUACCAUAGAAAUAAUAAUUCUCAAUUCUCUCUCAACUAUCUCUCUAUUCUCUCUCUCUCUUCUCUAAUUUUCUCUACUUCUCUUAUAAUUCUCUGUUAGGGUUCCUUAACCCUAACAUGGACAUUUGAUUGAAUAUUCUCUCACUAUUAUUGUGGGGACAAGGUUUAGUCAUAAACUAGCGGCAGGGUUUGUAGUUUAAUCCUGGCAUUGUGGGCAUAGAGCAAGGAUUGUUGAUAAAGGCUUGGAUCUUUUGAGAUUUCCUAUGGAGCUUGAAUGUAACCAAUAUGUAUUUGACAUAUUGCAUAUUAAGCUUCACUUGGAAAUAUGCUAAAAAGAUACUUUCAUAUGGCAUACUACAUAUAUCAUGUCAUACUUGUGUCUACCAAUUUUAUCUACCUGAGUCAUUUAGUUCAUUUCUAUCUACCAAUUUCGCAUGUUUAUAUAUAUAUAUAUAUA
rnacentral:misc_RNA from 1 species